AGUAGUUUGAUCAGUGGCUACAGGACGAACGCUGGCGGUGUGCUUCACACAUGCAAGUCGAACGAGGUAGCAAUACCUAGUGGCGGACGGGUGAGUAACGCGUGGGAAUCUGCCUUUAGAUGGGGGAUAACGGGUCGAAAGACUCGCUAAUACCGCAUAUGACGAAAGUUGAAAGGAGUAAUCCGUCUAAAGAUGAGCCCGCGUCCGAUUAGCUAGUUGGUAGAGUAAAAGCCUACCAAGGCGACGAUCGGUAGCUGGUCUGAGAGGAUGAUCAGCCACAAUGGGACUGAGACACGGCCCAUACUCCUACGGGAGGCAGCAGUGGGGAAUUUUACGCAAUGGGCGAAAGCCUGACGUAGCGACACCGCGUGAGCGAAGAAGCCCCUUGGGGUGUAAAGCUCUGUCAGCUGGAACGAAAAAAUGACGGUACCAGCAGAGGAAGCAUCGGCUAACUACGUG
rnacentral:rRNA from 1 species